rnacentral:rRNA from 1 species
GACGAACGCUGGCGGCGUGCUUAACACAUGCAAGUCGAACGGAAAGGCCCUGCUUUUGUGGGGUGCUCGAGUGGCGAACGGGUGAGUAACACGUGAGUAACCUGCCCUUGACUUUGGGAUAACUUCAGGAAACUGGGGCUAAUACCGGAUAGGAGCUCCUGCUGCAUGGUGGGGGUUGGAAAGUUUCGGCGGUUGGGGAUGGACUCGCGACUUAUCAGCUUGUUGGUGGGGUAGUGGCUUACCAAGGCUUUGACGGGUAGCCGGCCUGAGAGGGUGACCGGCCACAUUGGGACUGAGAUACGGCCCAGACUCCUACGGGAGGCAGCAGUGGGGAAUAUUGCACAAUGGGCGGAAGCCUGAUGCAGCAACGCCGCGUGCGGGAUGACAGCCUUCGGGUUGUAAACCGCUUUCGCCUGUGACGAAGCGUGAGUGACGGUAAUGGGUAAAGAAGCACCGGCUAACUACGUG